GCCUCCAUGGUCCAGUUGGAUAACUGUCUCCUCCUUGAAAAACAAAAGUUAGGAGGCGACAAAAAUAUGGCGAGGGUUCGAAUCCCUCUGGAGGCA